CUUCAGGGUGUCCGGGGGACGCAGCUCUUCCUCCCUGACCCCUCGGGCCUGUGCUGGGGGGCGGCCCUGGAAAUAGCUCGAAGGAAGGAGCCCCAGUGACUCGGGUGACGGUCUGGAAAUUCAGUGGCGUCAGCUCUCGUAACCCCUACACGCUGCAUCUGGAGACUCAACCCCGCUGAGCUCUGGGGUCGUAGCUGCAGCUGCCUCGGCGCUCCAAGACCAGAGAGGAAGCAAAGGCAGAGCUUCGCAGCCAGGCAUCGCUGCUUUGGCCUUGCAGUUUUGUUUUUGCUGCCCAGGCUGGAGUGCAAUGGAGCAAUCUUGGCUCACUGCAACCUCUGCCUCCCAGGUUCGAGUGAUUCUCCUGCCUUAGCCUCCCAAGUAGCUGGGAUUACAGGAAUCGCCGCCCACUGAGCUUCUGUUCAAACCUCAGUGGCUCAUAAUCUAAGUUUGCAAACACUGAGCAGGGAGGAGUCAUGCCUGCAGGGCCCCAGGAGUCCCUGGAUUUAGGUCCUGAUCACUCUGCUCCACCCAGGUCCCUGGAAGAUGACACUCCUGGAUCCCUCACAUGACCACGCAGGACGUCUUGGGUGGAGACUGAGCCACUGCCUGCCACCAGGGUGACUGCUCCUCCAAGAGUUGCCCAGAGCUGAAGUGCACCUUGUGUGAGGGGAGACGCACCUUUGCUGUGCUCAGCCUUGAGGUUUGGUGCUGUCUGCUGCUGCAGCACAUGCUGGCCUCUCCUGACGUCUCAGCGGUCCCUGGGCUAGCUGAGGCUCCACCGGCCCCAUGAUAGCUGAUCUGCCUCUUCUCUAGUCUCUUGGGAUCUGCGCCCUGCCCCUUCUCUAUCAAAUAUUCCUGGCUGGCCGAUUGAAAUACUAAUAUGAGCUAAUAUCUUUUAAAAAAAUUGACAAAACAAUAUACAUGUAUGUUGUAAAGCAUGACAUGUGAGAUAUACAGUGUGUAUACACUGUGGGUGUCUAAAUCAAGCUAAUUAACAUAUCCAUUACCUCACCUACUUUAUUAAUUUUUUUUUUUUUUCUGAGACGGAGUUUCGCUCUUGUUACCCAGGCUGGAGUGCAAUGGCGCGAUCUCAGCUCACCGCAACCUCCGCCUUCUGGGUUCAAGCAAUUCUCCUGCCUCAGCCUCCUGAGUAGCUGGGAUUACAGGCACGCGCCACCAUGCCCAGCUAGUUUUUUGUACUUUUAGUAGAGACGGGGUUUCACCAUGUUGACCAGGAUGGUCUCGAUCUCUUGACCUCGUGAUCCACCCGCCUCGGCCUCCCAAAGUGCUGCAAGCUAAGUUCUUAACGGCUGACGUGGGUGUUAUGCUAUUGGUUAGCCUUAUUUCCCAUCGAAUCUUCUCUUAGGCAUAACCUAGUCCUUUGAGCUUCUUCGGUGGGGGGGGGGAGGGGCGGGUCCUCCCUGGGCCUGCGCCGUCCUGCUCCCUGCGUGGGCCUUGCUUCCGGCUGCACAGGUGCACCACGGGCCUUCCUUUAACGCAGAAUUCAGUUGCUCGCGGACUUGCCCAGCGUCCAGAGCCGGAGCUGGGCGCGGGCAGCAGGCUCCUCACUGGCAGGUCUGUUGGAAACGUUUCACCAGCUGCCUAUGGCCUGGGGGUUCCUGGAGGGCAGUUCAGAGGUCCAGCCCCCGGCCCCCACGCCUGCGGAUUAUCUGCGCGGUCCCGAGUUAGCGGAACUGUGGAGGCUUCGGGUCACCCACCCGAGUCACCGGACUAAGGGUCUCGCUCUGGAGGAGUGCAGUAUGGCGACCUCGGCUCCUGCAGCCUCGGACCUCCUGGGCUCAAGCAAGCCGCCUUCCUCAGUCUCCUGGGUAGCUGGGACCACAGGCUGGGACCGCCACAACAGGUUUUGUUUAUUUUGUUGUUUUUUUAGGUAGAGAGGGGUCUCACUAUGUAUCCCAGGCUGGCCUUGAGCACCUGGGCUCAAGCUAUCCUACUGCUUCACCUCCCUAAGUGCUGGGAUUCAGACGUGAGCCACCGCGCACGGGCCCUCUUGAUAUGUUUACGUGGCUACGGGGACCGGGUAGCUAAUUCACAUGAAUGCCACUAGCUUGAGUACGGCCUUGCCAGUACUGGAAGAAGGGCCGCUGCUGGUGGUGUGAGGAUGACGACUGUAGUUUAAAAUGAGGAAACUGAGGCCAGUGUAAGAAAAUGAAAUGCCAGUUGAUUCAGCUCCCAGGCGAGGUUCUAUGGUCUGGAGAAAGGCGCCAGAGAAGUUGCACUGACUUCCUGGGGCGGGGUAGGGGCUGGGGGUGGUGGGAGUGGUGGUGGUUUUUAUGGCUAGGAGGAACGAGCAUAGCUGGGUGCUCUGACUGGGUCCAGGGGAGCAGGAUUGAGACGGGGCGGGCCGCUAUUGGUUGGCAGGUGGUUGGGCGGGUUUUCCGGUGGAAGAGCCGGCCAGGGUUGCAUUAGCUGGAGCCUUCCAAGGGGGCCACGUGGCAGAGCUAGGUGAGGAGUGCAGAGCUUGGUGCCAGGUGCAGAGUCAGGUGCUGAGUGCAGAGGUGGGUGUGUCCGGCCUCCCAGCGAGGCAACUGGCCUUACAAGGAUGGUAGCCACUGUUUGCAUCUUGAGGGCCUACUGUGUCCGGGGACUUUGCGGAGCAGUUUGCGUUCAGGGCCUUUAUCCUGACCACAGACCCGCGAGGAUCUAUCCAUUCCUACCCAACACCAACCUCUUACAUUGAUGUAGAACACCUGUCAGUCUAAGGCAUCGUCUCUCCGCCUCUGACUUCACACUUGCUUUUCCUUCAUUUCUUCCUUGGUGCACUUUCGCAGUCACUGUGGCUGUGUGCCAAACCACCUGGAAACCUAGUGGCUCGACAAUGUCCACACUUACUUCAGUCCUGAAUCUGCAAAUUGGGCAGGGUUGGCUGGCUGAACUGUUUCAAAGACCCUGCUCUGAGGAGAUGGUUUUCCAUGACAAAAACCAAUCUCCGUCCAGGGCCACUGAGGCUUGGAGGAAGCUGACUGCCAGGACCCAGAGAGCCACAUCGAGUUUGAUACUUCUGCACCCUAAUGCUGGAGGGGGUGUGGAUCAGGAGGCUGAGACCCACAAAGAAUAAACAGCUCCACCCAAGUCAUGCAAAAUUACAAAGCAGUUACUUUAGGUAGGAAGAGGGUGGAGUUGGGUGCCAUAGGCUUCUCUGUGACGUUCUGAUGUACAGUCAUCCAGCAGGUGGAGGAAGACAGGGAGCUGUUGAGAGAGACUCAGCUGAUGUCAGCGGCUGGGCGGGGAUCCUAGUUCCCCCACCCGGUGCCCGCUGGGGACCAUUCUCUUCCCAGAGCAGCUCUUCAUGUUAUUUAUCAAGACUAGGGUUUUUUUCCUCAUGUAAAUCACUUACAACUUUUGUUUUUGUCCCGACUUGUGUCUUUUAAAACACAUUCCAUGCCUCUUCAUUUCUUCUUGCUUAGUAAUAAAAACAGGCCGUGGCAAUGUCCUUAAGUUUCGCUGGGUGAUUUUACUCAUCAGUCCUGUCUUAAGUAAAUGCAGUUUUGUUUUUCUUGUGAGCUGACAUUUCUCUUUUCUUUUUUUUUUUUUUUUUGAGACGGAGUUUCGCACUUGUUACCCAGGCUGGAGUGCAAUGGCGCGAUCUCGGCUCACCACAACCUCCGCCUCCUGGGUUGAGGCAAUUCUCCUGCCUCAGCCUCCUGAGUACCUGGGAUUACAGGCACGUGCCACCAUGCCCAGCUAAUUUUUUUUUGUAUUUUUAGUAGAGACGGGGUUUCACCAUGUUGACCAGGAUGGUCUCGAUCUCUUGACCUUGUGAUCCACCCGCCUCGGCCUCCCAAAGUGCUGGGAUUACAGUCGUGAGCCACCGCUCCCGGCCUUUUUUUUUUUGAGACAGAGUCUCUGUGGCCCAGAGUAGAGUGCAAUGGCUUUAUCUCAGCUCACUGCAACCUCCGACACCUGGGUUUAAGCAGUUUUCCUGCCUCAGCCUCCGGAGUAGCUGGGAUUACAGGCAUGCGCCACCACACCCAGCUAAUUUUGUAUUUCUAGUAGAGACAGGAUUUCUCCAUGUUGCUCAGGCUGGUCUUGAACUCCUGACCUCAGGUGAUCCGCCCACUCAGCCUCCCAAAGUGCUUCUAUUAGAGGCAUGCACCACGGCACCCGGCCUGCUCCUUUUAAAAAAAGAAAGCAUUCAUGUGACAACUGAUGUCUGUGAAGAAACAUUUGUGAGUGUUGGGAGGAGGGUGGGGUGGCAGGGAUUGACUUCAUUAGCAAUAUUGAUUAUAUUAUUCAAGGUCUUCAUAUGCCUGUGGAUUCUUGAUCUGCUGCCUCUAUCAAAAAUCAUAAGAGAUACAGUAAAGCCUCCCAGUGCAAUUACAUUUUUGUCAAUUUACCCUUGUAUUUUUAAAGUUUUCUUUUAUUACAUUUUAGUGGAAUAUUUCCCAUGUAGGAAGUAUUGUGCAAUUUGUCAUUUCAUGAUUUAGAUCCUUUAGAAAAAUAAAAUGACCUCCUUUGGCUUAUUUUCAUAGUUUUUGUUUUAGAUUCUACCUUCUGUGAAACUUUUUUUAAUAAACUUUUUUUUUUUUUUGAGACAGUUUCGCUCUUGUUACCCAGGCUAGAGUGCAAUAGCGCGAUCUCUGCUCACCGCAACCUCUGCCUCCUGGGUUCAGGCAAUUCUCCUGCCUCAGCCUCUUGAGUAGCUGGGAUUACAGGCACGCACCACCAUGCCCAGCUAAUUUUUUUGUAUUUUUAGUAGAGACGGGGUUUCACCUUGUUGACCAGGAUGGUCUCGAUCUCUUGACCUCGUGAUCCACCCGCCUCGGCCUCCCAAAGUGCUGGGAUUACAGGCUUGAGCCACCACGCCCAGCCUAUAAACUUUUUUUUAAAGACAGGGUUUCACCAUGUUGGUUAGGCUGGUCUUGAACUCCCGACCUCAGGUGAUCCACCCGCCUUGGCCUCCAAAGUGCUUGGAUUACAGACAUGAGCCACCAUGCCCAGCCUAAAACUUUUUUUUUUUAAAUGUGACAUCUGCUCUUUUCACUUGCUGGUUUGCAAUUGACCUAGGACAUUUUCGCCCAUUCCUUUGCUUUUGUUAGCAAAUCCAUAAUGAGCAUCUCCUAUACGUAUGCCACGUGUUGUCUCAGAAUUGGGCUUUGCAGAGUGCCAUGGAGGAGACAUGUUUCUUGCCUUUGUGAACUCACAUUGCACGCCUCACUCUAUUUUAAUUGUGUCACUUAUAAGCAGCAGAUAGUUGGAUACCGUUUUUUGAGUUUAGUAAACCAAGUUUGUCUUAUUAUAGAGGUAUUUGAACUACCCACAUUUGUCACUGUAACUAAUACCUUUGGUGUUAUUUUUGUCACAUUGUUUCAUGCUGAUUUAUUUAUUUAUUUUUUAUUAUACUUUAAGUUCUGGGGUACAUGUGCAGAACAUGCAGGUUUGUUACAUAGGUGUACAUGUGCCAUGGUGGGGGUUUGCUGCAUCCAUUCCCACCCCCGCUGCUAUCCCUCCCCUAGCCCCCCACUCCCUGACUGGCCCCAGUGUGUGAUGUAUUGGGUGCAUAUAUAUUUAGGAUCAUUAGCUCUUGUUGCAGUGAUCCCUUUACCAGUAAUACUCUUCUUUGUCUCUUUUGAUCUUUAUUGGUUUAAAGUCCAUUUUAUCAAAGACUAGGAUUGCAACUCCUGGUUUUUUUUUUUCUCUCCAUUUGCUUGGUGAAUCUUCCUCCAUCCCUUUAUUUUGAGCCUAAGUGUGUCUUUGCACAUGAGAUGGGUCUCCUGAAUAUAGCACACUGAUGGUCUUGACUCUUUAUCCACGUCACCAGUCUGUAUCUUUUGACUGGGACAUUUAGCCCAUUUACAUUUGAGGUUAAUAUUGUUAUGUGUGAAUUUGAUCCUGUCUUUUUUAUGCUAGCUGGUUGUUCUGCCUGUUAGUUGGUGCAGUUUAUUCAUAGUCUUGGUGGUCUUUAUAAUUUGGCAUGUUUUUGCAGUGGCUGGUACAGGUUGUUUCUUUCCAUGUUUAGUGCUUCCUUCAGGGGCUCUUAUAAGGCAGGCUUGACAGUAAUAAAAUCUCUCAGCAGUUACUUGUCUGUAAAGGGUUUUAUUUUUCCUUCACUUAUGAAACUUAAUUUGGCUGGAUAUGAAAUUCCAGCUUAAAAAUUCUUUUCUAUAAGAAUGUUGAAUAUUGGCCCCCACUCUCUUCUGGCUUGUAGGGUUUCUGCUGAGAGAUCUGCUGUGAGUCUGAUGGGCUUCCCUUUGUGAUUAACCCAGCCUUUCUCUGUGGCUGUCCUUAGCAUUUUUUCCUUAAUGUCAACCCUGGUGAAUCUGACAAUUAUAUGCCUUGGGGUUGCUCUUCUCGAGGAAUAUCUUUGUGGUGGUCUCUGCACUUCCUGUAUUUGAAUGUUGGCCUGCCAUGUUAGGUUGGGGAAGUUCUCCUGGAUAAUAUCCUGAAGAGUAUUUUCCAACUUGGUUUCAUUCUCCCCAUCACAUUCAGGUAUACCUAUCAAAUGUAGAUUUGGUCUUUUUCACAUAAUCCCGUAGUUUCUGGAGGCUUUGUUAUUUCUUUUCACUCUUUUUUCUCUAAUCUUGCUUUUGUGCUUUAUUUCAUUGAGUUGAUCUUCAAUCUCUGAUAUCCUUUCUUCCAAUUGAUUGAUUCGGCUAUUGAAACUUGUAUAUGCUUCACAAAGUCCUCGUGCUGUGUUUUUUACCUCCAUCAAGUCGUUUAUGUUCUUCUCUAUGCUGAUUAUUCUAGUUAGCCUUUCAUCUAGCCUGUUUUCAAGGUUCUUAGUUUCCUUGCAUUGGGUUAGAACAUGCUCCUUUAGCUUGGAGAAUUUUAUUACCCACCUUCCGAAGCCUGUUUCUGUCAAUUUGUCAAACUCAUUCUCUAUCCAGUGUUGUUCCUUUGCUGGUGAGGGGUUGUGAGCCCUUGGAGAAGAGGUGUUCUGGUUUUUGGUGAUUUCAGCCUUUUUGUGUUGGUUUCUUCCCAUCUUCAUAGAUUUAUCUACCUUUGGUCUGAAGUUGGUGACUUUUGGAUAGGUUCUCUGAAUGGACAGACUUUCUGUUGAUAAUCAAGCUAUUUCUUUCUGUUUAUUAGUUUUCCUUCUAACUGGCCGCUCUGCUGUAGGUCUGCUGGAGUUUGCUGGAGGUCUACUACAGACCCUGCUUGUAGUAGAGGCUGCAGAACAGCAAAGAUUUCCCAGGCUGGAGUGCAGUGGCGCAUGAUCUCGGCUCAUUGCAAUCUCCAUCUCCUGGGUUCAAGUGAUUCUCCUGACUCGGCUUCCCCAGUAGCUGGGAUUACAGGCUAAGUUUUGUAUUUUUAGUAGGGUUUCACCAUGUUGGCCAGGCUGCUCUUGAAGUCCUGACCUCAGGUGAUCUGCUCACCUUAGCCUCUGAAAGUGCUGGGAUUACAGGUGUGAGCCACCGUGCCCCGCCUUUUUGAGCAUUUUGAAUAUGUGAUUCCAGUGCUUUCUGGCCACCAUUUUUUUUUUUUUCUGAUGAGAAUUCAGCUGUGAAUCUUAUGUGAAUUCUUUUGGAAGGGACAAGUUUUUUUUCUUUGUUUAUUUUUAGGUUUUCAAAAUUGUCUACUUGUUUUUGACUUUCAGCUUUCCCCCACCAGCACGUUGACUAUUUGAGAUAAAGUACAUUUCACUCUUUGUGGUUCUCUGUGGUUAUCCUACUUGGAGUUGGUUGAGCUUCCUGGAUGUAUAUUGUUUUUCAAUCAAACUUAGAAAUGUUAUAGUCAUGAUUUCUUUGAAUAUUCUUCCUUCUCUCUCCUCUCCUGGUACUCUCAUGAUGUGUGCGCUAGCACGCUUGAUGGUGUCUCGUCUAUCCCGGAAGCUCUGUUCAUUUUUCUCUCUGCUCUUUGACUUGCAUACUCUCUGGUGAUCUAUCUUUAAGGUAACGAAUCCUUUCUUCUGCCAGUUUUAAUCGGCCGUUGAGUCCCUCUAGUGAAAUUUAUUUCCAUGACUGUACUUUCUAAUUCCAGUAUCUUCAUUUAAAGAAUAAUUUAUCUCUGUUUGUUGAUAUUUCCUAUUUGAUGUGAUACUGUCUUCACACUUUACUUCUUGGGUCAUGGUUUUCUUUAGUUCUUCGAACAUAUUUUAAUGGCCACUUUAAAGUCUUUGUUAAAUCUGACACCUAUUUAACUGCUCUUGUCACAAAAUAGCUAUGGGAGAUGAUGGCUGUGUUAAUCUGUUUCACUAUUGUAACCAUUUUUCUGUGUAUACAUAUCUCAUAACACCAUGCUGUAAAUCUCAAAUAUAGACAAAUAGAAUUUAUUUAAAAAAAUCUGACAUCGAGUUACUCUCACAGGAACUUUCUCUUGACAUUUUUCUGGUGUACAGAUUAUGCUUUCCUGUUUCUUAGCAUGUUUCAGUAUUUUUUUGCUGAUAUUUUAGAUAAUAGAUAAUAUAUUGUAGCAACUUGGGUUGCUGGGCGCUCAUCUUCAUUUUCCUCAAAGGGCUUGCUAUUUACUUGUUUAUUUUUUAGUGAAUGGCUGGAUUGUUUAAGUGAAAUCUACUCCCCCUGGUGUUGAACAUUUGAUAAUGCUUCUUCAGGCAGUGCUGGAUCCCAGGUCACAGUGAUGGCCGAGGUUUUGGCAGUCCCUCUCUGAAUGUCUCUUUCCCUGACCGCACCUAGCUUUAAGCCCCGGUGAUUGCUGGCUGAUUAUGCUGUUUAAUCCCAAUGCCCUUGGGAUUAAAUUGCUCUACAGAGGGAGUCAGUCAAGUACAAGAUCCUUUGAAGGAGUGGUUCUGGAGGUUGAUACUGUUGGCCCUCCAUAUUAGUGAGUUCCACAGCCAUGCGUUCAACCAACUGCAGAUAGAAAAUGCUUUUUUUUUUUUUUUUUUUUUUUUACAAAAAAGAAGAUGGUUAUGUUUGUAUUGAACUUUUUUUCUUUGUCAUUAUUCCCGAUACAAUACAGUAUAAUAAAUAUUUACCUAGCAUUUACAUUAGUAUUUACAUUGCAUAAGUAAUUUAAUGAUUCCAAGUAUAUGGGAGGAUAUGUUUAUUUUAUAUGCUAAUAGUAGGCCAUUUUAUACCAGAGACUUAUGCACUCAUGGAGUUUGGUAUCCUUGGGGAGUCCCGGAACCAAGCCUUGUGGAUAUGAGCUGUAUUUGAUAUUACGUUCUGAGUCCAGGUGGACUCCUCAAGUUCCCUGGGAAAAAUCUCCAAGCAAUGGUUAUUGAGCAGUGGUGCUGACUGCCGGGCACUCAUCCAGUCGUCAUGGCAUGCUGGAGUGGCCUUUGGUGCCCCCCGGGGAGUGUGGCUGAGGUCCGAGGCCUUGUGGCUGGUGUCUGGCCAGUUUCAGCUCGGACCCCUUGCUGGGCUCUGCUCAUCUCGACUCCCCAUGGCACCAGCAACCUCACUCAAACUGUGUUUGCACACAUGUGCCUCUGAUUUCUUCUGUAGGAUUUUAUCCUGCAAACGUGCUCACAGUUGAGUAAAGACAGUGACAGAUGUGUUCACAGAAGCAGUGUUUGCAUCAAAAGUCAGGAAACAUCUGAUGCCCACCAAACAGGAUGACUUAAGUAUCACCCAUUCACACAAUGGCAUGUGUCUUCCAGAAAGCAGGAUUCUGUGGUCAGGAUACUUGGACGAGUGCACAGCAUGCUCCCACAUGUACAGAGCACUCACAGAAUAUCCUCAUGCAUGCCCCACAUGUACAGAGCACUCACAGAAUAUCCUCAUGCAUGCCCAUGUGUGCUUGGGUGUCCGGAGGGACAUGUGGCACACUGCAGGCUCCUUGGGAAUGGAUGUCCGGACCCCAGUUCUCUGAAUCACUCUGUUUUAACUAAAUCAGCACUUCAUCUCCUUUAAGCUCGCUUUUACUCUACUUCUAUUAUAUGUGUUUAAAAUCCAUUCAUGACUUUAUAAAAACAUCUCUUUGGGAGAAAGUGAGCCUGGGAAGGAAGUGUGGAUUAGGGGCUUUGCUUUUUCCUUAAGAUGAUCUAUUUUCUCCCUGCUCUUUACAAGUCAUUUUCAUGAGCCACUUGGGAAUGUCCUUUUUAUUCACUGUGGAUUCCAGACAAACCCAGACUCUUGUGCUGCACAGCCCAGCCCACAGCAGCCUUGGCCCAAGAAGCUGGGCUGGAGCUAAGAGUGUGACCCUGCCCUGCCUGCUGCAGGGGCACAGGCAGCUAUCGGUGGAGGUGGAGGUGCCCCAAGAGAAAAGGGGGACCCCCACAUGGUGCCUUCUGGUUACAGAGGGGGCCCGCCAGGAUCUCUGCCUGCAACUGUGAGACACCUGGACUGGCCAUUUUCUCCCCCUUAGCUUUUGUGGGCAGAGAUUCCAGGUGCAACUGUGGAGGAAGAAAACCAAUGGUCACUUCAUGCAAAGCUUUGUCCCAUGAGUUGACCUGGUGACCUAUGUAGAGUAGGCCUAGCUGGCUUUAGGACCCUGCAGGCUGUGGUGAAGGGGGUGGGGGAUUUGCCAGGUUAGGGGGCCUCAGGGCAGGUCUAGUCCCAUCUUGUCAAAGUCUCUCUGAUGGCAGCACAGGUGAUUGGUGUCACUGGCUUUUUAGGGAUGGAUUUGAGUUGAAGCAUGACCAAAUGAGCUCCAGCUAGACCCAGGGCAACCCUGGGGGUCUUCUCCAACUCAGGCUGAAGGGGAGCAGAGACUUUCCUGGAUUUCUUCUUGGAGCCAGAGAGGCAAAAGUGUGGCCAGCUGCUACCCCAGCUGCUGUGCUCCAGAAUCAGCCAUUUCUCCAGGGAUUCUGUUUUCUUUUUUCUUUUUCUUUUUUUAAAAGAUGGGGUUUCACCAUGUUGAUCAGGCUGGUCUUGAACUCCCGAUCUCAGGUGAUCCACCCGCCUUGGCCUGCAAAGUGCUUGGAUUACGGGCGUGAGCCACCAUGCCCGGCUGGAUCCUGUUUUCUUUAAUUGGAAAAUGGUAUAGAGCCCAAGAUCUGGGUGCUGGCUAUUCUCCUGGCCACUGGAGAGCUGCUACUCUAGCCUCUCUCAGUGGACAGAGCUAGGACACGUUUGUAUGUGAACUCACCCAUUUGUAUACCAUGUUAGUGUAUUUGCAUUGCCAGAAAGGAAUACCUGAGGCUGGGUAAUUUAUAAAGAGAAAAGGUUUAUUAGGCUCAUGGUUCUACAGGCUGUGCAGGCCUGGAGCCAGCAUCUGUUUCAGCGAGAAGCUUUCAGUCAUGGUGGAAGGAGAAGUGGGAGCUGGUGUGUCACAUGCAACAGAAGGAGCAAGAGAUGGGGAAGGGGUGUCAGGAUCUUUUCUUCUUCUUUCUUCCUUCUUCCUCCUUCCUCCUCCUCCUCCUCCUUCCUUUCUUCUUCUGCCUUUUUUUUUUUUUUUGAGAUGGAGUUUUGCUCUUGUUGCCCAGGCUGGAGUGCAGUGGUGUGAUAUCAGCUCACUACAACCUCUGCCUCCCGGAUUCAAGUGAUUCUUCUGCCUCAGCCUCCCAAGUAGCUGGGAUUACAGGCGCCCUGCACCGCACCCAGCUAAUUUUUUGUAUUUUUAGUAGCGACGGGGUUUCACCACGUUGGCCAGGCUGGUCUUGAACUCCUGACCUCAGGUGAUUCGCCUGCCUCAGGCCCAAAGUGCUGGGAUUACAGGCGUGAGCCAAUGCACCCUGCCUAGGCUCUUUUUGACAACCAGCCCUUGUGUGGACUAACAGCACGAACUCACUCACUCAUCACAGUGAGGAGAGCACCAAGCUAUUCAUGAGACAGCUGCAGACACUGGGGCUCACAUCCAAACCACACUAUAUCCUGUGCCUUUAGUGCUUUCUCUCUGUCCCUCUGUUUGUCCACUGACCCAGGCCUGGAUUCACACUGAUGUCUGAGAUCAAGGCCAGCCCGGCAGGACUCAUUCUCACUCCUGCUGUUGAUCCAUAAGCCCCUCCACGCUCCCCACAGGGAGACACUGGCUCUCGCCACGCAGCAUGCCUUCGCCUGUUUGUUCAAGCCCAGUGUGCCUUCGUGGAAGCUUCGCAAUCAUUAGCCUGCUCUCACUUGAAUGCAUGUGCUAAGGAGAAUACAGCGACCUUUGUCUUCAGGUGUUUCCGGUCAGAAUGCCCCUUUCCCAACUUCCUUAGGCCAGCUCCUCUUUCCGCCCCAUCACGGAGUCAGGUUUAUCUAUCAGUGAGUGUCUUCUCACAGUCUGUGUUCCAUCCUGGGAUUCCCCAACCUAGUGGUUGAGGUUUUGUAAUUUGCAUGCAUUAAAAGUGAACUCUUUGUAAUGUGUACAGCUCUAUGGGUUUUGACCAAUACAGAGAUACCUGUAGCUGCUAUUCCAGUAGCAGACAGAGUAUCUCCGUCAUCCUAAAAAUUGCCCUGUGCAUCCCCUUUAUAAUGGCCACCUCCUGAUUCCCCAAAUCUCAUAACUCCUGAUGUGUUUUCUGUCCUCACAGUGUUGUCUUUUGCACAAUGUCAUAUGAAUGGUGUCAUAUGAUACAGAAUCUUUUGGUUCUGGCUUCUUCCUACUUAGGCUAUUAAAAAAAACACCAGAAUUCUGAAUCAUGUGUUUUAUCUUUCUGAAAGGAGUAAGCAUAGCUAGUUAAAAGUCUACAUGUGCUGUCCUCACUACUUGGGGUUGUGUGGGUCGGUUUCUACUGCCUGUUGUUUCUGCUAGUUUUCAUUUGUGUUGAUUUGUCUUCUUAAAUGCCUGGUUCUCUUUCAUAUUAUAUAGGCAAAAGUGUUUAUAAAAAUACUUUGAAGCAUAGGACAAUGUUAUUAUUCGUAGCUUUUUUUUUUUUUUUUUAACAGAGAUUUGCUUCCGGCAGGUUCGUAGCACAAACAUUCUCUUUCAUACAGCUCAGGAAUUGAGGUCUCUGAGCCACACUGAUGACUGAAGCCAGGCUGUAGCCCUCAUGAGGGUUAAUUUUCUUGUUUUCUCCAAGAAGGCAAUCUUUUGGUAUCCCCACCCAAAGGGUGACCCCCCCCCACCUGCCUCCUGGGUUCAAGUGAUUCUCCUGCCUCAGGCUCCUAAGUAGCUGGGAUUACAUGUGCCCCACACUGCACCCAGCUAAUUUUUUUGUAUUUUUAGUAGCGACAGGGUUUCACCAUAUUGUCCAGGAUGGUCUCAAACUCUUGACCUCAAGUGAUCUGCCUGUCUUGGUCUCCCACGUGUUGGGAUUACAGGUGUGAGCCAUUGCACCCGGCCCCAGCUAGUGUUUCUGUUCUUGAUGGGCCUUGAAUUCUGCUUUUUGUCUCCUUAGCCCUACAAAAGAUCUUCAUGUUUCUUUGUCACUCUUUCAGCAACAGCAGUCACCUGUAGACUAAAAGCAGUCGUAAACAAGGUCAUUCUUUAUAACCUUGUCAAUCUUCUAUCUUUAGCAGAUGUUUCUCAUGUUUUGAGCAGUUUUGUUAGUUGGCUGGAUUGAUGGGUGGACAGAUGAAGUAGGUUGUUUCAGAUGACUUUAUUCAUCUCUCCUGGCAGUGGAGAUCCCUGUUCCUCUCUUGGGUAAGCCCUUCCACCAGAUCAUUGGCCCCUGAGCUGACUCUCCACUAUAGACUUGGGGUGUGGGCUUGUUCUUCACUCUGGGCCACUGAGACCCAUUUCUGAGACAGAUCCAUGAACUGAAUCUGAAGGACAUUCUUGGGGUGUGUGCCAGAUCCCUACUGACUCCAGUAAGGCUGGCACCAUGUCUGAAAGCUGGAGCCAGCAAAUGAGAUCUAGGGUUUAUUGGGAGACUUCCAUACCAGGCAGCCCAGUGGCAGCAGAGUAGACAAGAAGAUUGCUACCCUUUGUAAAAAGCAGAUAGUUGAUGUAGCAUUUUCACUUAGCACCCUCCGCCUAGCAACCUCUAUUUAACCCAGAACAAAGGGCUCCUAGCCCCUGUACAGUCUGCAUUCCAAGGAUGGGCCAGGGGUUUGGAUGUCCUUCACAGAUAAGGAGUGAGUCUCCAAAUCAGCCACUCCUGGAUUCCCUAACUCAGAAGUCUGCCAACACUCUUCUUAGACCAUGCGGCCAUGCCCGGGUGAGCGUCGGUGAUGGCUGUCAGAUGCCUCCGUCAUGCCCAGAGGUGGCCCACAUACCCUGGUGCUCUGUCUGUGCUGCUGGUAUUCGUGUGCAGCACCCCAGAGGAGCUCGAGGGGGCCCUGGCGUACCCGCUGACUCACCUCCUUCCUGACCUGCAUGCACCCCUCUUAGGGCUUGCUUCUCUUUUUCCAGAAAAUUUAUUCAUAAUACAUGAAUGUUCAAAUUAAAAAAAAGUAUUUCCACCAUUUUAUCAUGUAUGUUUUUGAAUGCCAUUAUAGAAUGCCAUCUCAGGAGUUCAAAGUCAGGGUGACAGUGACAGAUUCAUUUCCUAAAUGCUUGGAAGGGAAAUGCAGAAGAGAAUUCAAAGUCUUACCUUAAAGCCUUUGGAUAGCGACAUGCACACAGCAUUCCAGAGCACAGCUAGGUUCUGCCCAGGGCCCUCUGCCCCCUCCUCCCUCAUUGUCCUUUGCCGUUUGCCCUUCAGCCUGAUGGGCCUAGGAACCCCUAAAAAGGUGGGUGCCUUGGCCACAGAGCACCUGCUGCAUGGCGGACCAGAAUAGCAACAUGUGUGCCGGGAAUAAUUAUCAGCAUGGACAGAGCAGGAAAGCGCCCUGAGUUUAUUUCAGGAGCUUGGGGGAGGAGCCAUAAAACAGACUCAAAUGAGCCCUCAUCCCCAGACCAUCAAAACCACUUUUAAAGCAUUUUCCUCCAGGGGAUGGGAUUGGAUUCCAUCUCUCUUGGGUAGAAAUUCUUCUCAUGGUAGCAAUGCUGAGGCUCUUAGAAAAGGAUUUUUAAAAACAUGGUACAAAAAAGAAUCUAGUGAAGUUGAUUAUUCUUAAGGAAGUUGCUUUUGAACAUGAUGUGUUUGCUAUCUGUGGUGUUAUGAUGGAUACAGGUUUUUGUCUGCGGUUCCUGGCUUGUAACUCCCAUAGCCUGUGUUAGGGUCUUUUGUUAGAACGUUGGGUGCUUUAGAAAAACAGAAUCUCUCUGGUCUUCCGACCUUCUUUCACCUGCCCUAAGGCAGGACUCUAUUCCUCCUGCACCUUUCUGACUGUGGGUCUUCAGACCCUCUCCAGAGGGAGUCCUGCCCUAUACCUUGAGGGAAGGAAUGGUGAUGGCAUGGAGCCGCCACCAAAACCAAGAGGACUGGGUUCCGGAGCUUCCCGAGAGCUGAACACGUGCAGGUUCCCGGAGGGUGGUGCCCAGGGAGGGCAUGGACACUCUGCGCCCCUUCCCCUGAUUUCACCCUACGCAUCUCUUCAUCUGUCCUCUUUGAAAUAGCCUUUUAAUAAACUAGCAAAUGCGUUUCUGAGUUCUGUGAGCUGUUCCAACAAAUUAAUAGAACCCAAAGCCCGGGCUGAGGGAACCCUAACCUGAAGCUGGUCGGUCAGAAGUUCCAGGCCUGGACUUGUGCCUGGUGUCUGGGAGCAGGGCAGCCCUGAGGGAGGAUGUGCCCCCUUCCCAGGUAGACAGCAUGGGAAUUGAACUGGAGGACACCCGGCUGGUGUCUGCUGCCUGGUAUGUGGGAGAAGCCUCCACACCUUUGGUCACAGAAGUGUUCUGGGGGUGAUGGUUGCGGUGGCGUGAGAGCAGAGGAAAAACACGACUGAGUUUUUCCAAAACAGUAUCAUUGCUCAUUUCUAUUUUCCGGUAGGAAACUUAUGGUUUGGGCGUGUCCCUCCAACUGCUUGCUGGUGACCAAGGAGAAGGAACCGCUGGGCUUUAUUUGAUAAUCAACAAAGCAUUAGGCCCGACCUUCCAAUUUUAUUCCUGUUGGGUGUAGCACAAGUAGGUCUGGAUUUCAGAUGAUGGAUUGUUGAUCAAAAACUGCAGUGAAAUCUCGAACUACAAAAUUCACCACCUGGUGAAGAUACUAGAUUUGAAAGGAGAAAUAAGUCCUUGUUUGGACACAGGCAGCUUGCUUCUUCUCCUGGGUGAAAAGAAUAAAACAUGAAAAACCCUGAUGUGGACACAGCACGUGGCCAACCAGGGAUCCCUUCUUCCAGGUGGUCGCUGUGCAGGUGUCCAGCUCUCACCUCACUGCUUAGGGCAACGCAUUUUCUGCAAACGUGAGAACUCUGAUAGCAGCUGUUCCUUGGACUGGCAGGAAAUACAUGGCUCGCUGGUUCCUACCCAUGAACCAGCCUCUCAGGUGCUCCUGCUGGUCCUGGGAGGCUGAGAGCAGACGGGCCUGGGCUCCUGCCUCUUCUCCUGCAGAACUCCUCCUUCCUUCCUGCUGCAGAAGUGCUCAGGCAAGGGCUGCUGAGCUCAUCAGAGGAGGGGACAUGUGGCUCAGACACCCUCAUCCACCCCCCAGAAAGCUCCAGGAUGAGUUAUGGAAACCUGGAAAGUCAGAAACACAGAGCACAGCUCUGGAACUGAUGCAUGUCGGGACUUUGUCGAGACAGAGUCCAUGGAGGAGAGUGAGAUGGCACAGUGGGUGUCAUCAGUGGCCUCAUGCUGCCCAGCUCUAAGUGCAGGGAGGCAGGGACAGACCUGGGUGCAGGAGGGCCAUGCUGCCUCCUGCAGUGAAGCAUGGUGGGGGUGAGAACUGCUCUGGUCACAUUUCCUUCCUUUCAUGGUCCCUGCACUGUUUGUAACAAGAGGGUGGACAUGGAGGGGCCCGGGAGGAUGGUCCCCACCUAGCUCUGAUGGCCUCAGGGCUGGCCAGUACCACCAGCUGCUGAUGCAUGGCCCCUCGUCACUUCCGGCUUCCUGUCCCUCUGCGGGCAUGUCCAGGACAAGUGCAGAUUUAUGGACUUGGCCAAGCUACCCUGCAGCCUGGCUCGGCUCCUUCCUCCCUGUGUGACCCCAGAUGAUCUUAUCCCCUCUGAGCCUCUGUCCACAAAGCGGCAAUGGUGAUUGUCCCCAUCAGGCCUGUGACAGUGGCCAGGCUGUGUCAGGACAGCCCUGGGCCCACUGCAGGAGCCCCAAGCCUCAGGGGAAAGUGGCCACUGCCUUGGCUCUUACUGUCCCUGUUCCUUCUUGUCACAGCAGCUCCUAUGCUAACUUUCCUACUUUCUGUACCACUAAGGGAGGACACUGGGCUGUGUUAUUCCUGGGCACAUCUGCAACACUUGGUGAGCCCAGCACAAAGCAGUGCCCAGGUGUUUGUGGAAGGAGUCCGUGUCCUAUCUGCUGGGAUUCCUCUUUGUCCCCUUCGCUGAGUAGAUCAGGGCCCUGUGCAACCCUCACCUCCCUGAGAAAUUUUCCUUCCUGGGCUGUCCCUGCCUGGUGCAGAGCUGAGCCGUCCUGCUUUGUGGAGCUUCACCCAGGGCGCUCCCAGACACUCCCUGAGAAUUGCAUGGCAGGGAGUUACCUCUGUUCUCUGGGCAAAGGGCAUGCCUGGGCUGAGGCUGCUUGCCCAGCUCAUCUGAAUGCAGAGGAAGACUUCUCUUUGCACCGAGGGGAAGGGUACUAAUCACACCAUUGACUGAGCCUUCAAGGGCACAGAGGCAUAUCAAGAUCCUGGCACCCAGGAACCAAACACCUGAGGGAGGAGAGGAGGCACAGGUGAGGCUGAGCAGGAUAGACGGCCUAAUGUGAGCUCAGCCUCCAAGAGGAAGGGAGCAGCCAUAGGGAGGCAUGAGACAGGGGAGGCUCCUGGGAGGAGGGACACAUGGCCCACACCUGUGCAAACACACCAUCGGGCAUGGCGGGAUUCUGUGCUCCGUGCAUGUGCCUAACUCAGAUGUGUAAAACCCUGUGUUCAAGGAGCAGACAGCCACUGGGCUGCUCCAGGUACGGCUGUGGGGACUAUUGGAUGUGCACCAGGAAAAUGGACCUGGUGUGCUCCUGUCCCAGGUAACUGAAUCCAUUUGCUAUCAGAAUGGAGAGCCACACAACCUGUUUGGAUCACUGGCAAUUUCUCAUCCCGUGACUCAGCGAUUUUACUCUAUGUGGUUUUUUUUUUUUUUUGGAAACAAAGUCUCACUUUGUAGCCCAAGCUGGAGUGUAGUAGCGCUCACUGCAACCUCUGCCUCUGGGGCUCAAGCGAUUCUUGUGCCUCAGACUCCCAAGUACAUGGGAUUACAGGCACCAGCCACCAUGCCUGGCUAAUUUUUUGUAUUUUAGUAGAGAUGGGGUUUCACUGUGUUGCCCAGAGUGGUCUCGAACUGCUGAGCUCAGGCGGUCCACCUGCCUUGGCUUCCCAAAGCGUCGGGACUACAGUCAUGAGCCAGUGCACCCCGCCCACUUUAUGUAUCUGUCCAGAAGUAAUGAAAGCCUGUGUCUACCAAAUGCUCACAAAUGUUCAUGGCGGCUUUAUUCGCAAACUGGAAACGACCCAAACGUCCAUUAGCAAGAAAACAAACACCCAAAUGGUGGGGUAGCCAUGCAGCAGGAGCCUCUUCAUCAAUAAAAACAUUACAAACUGCUGAAACCCACAGCAAUCGGGACGGGUCUCAGAAACCUCAGGCUGAGCAAAUGGAAAUGGACUAGAAACAGCGCAGGCUGCGAUUCCAUUUGCAUGAGACUUAAGGACAGAAUAAAUCUAAAGUGAGCACACCUGUGCAAUAGCUGCUCUGGGGCAGUGGGAAGGGCAGGAGGCUCUCAUGGGUGGUGGCAAUAUUCCGUCUCUUGGCUGUGACGAACUGGGGGAUGUGUUUGCCAAAAUUCAUCCUACUAUACUUCGAUAUUUCUGUAUUUCACUGUGUAUAAAAUAGACCUCAGUAGAAUUAAUUUCAUUGGAAAACCCUGCAGAUUGAAGGCGAAAUUUCUUCAGUAGCCACAUUAGAUAGCGUCACAGCCAUGCAUCAGGCUUUCCAGAUGAAGUAAUUCAGAGCCACCUGACAGGCAUGGAGUGCCUUGAUUAAAUGUGAGCCAGGUCCGCUGGGGAAGAGGCUGGCUGUGUUACCCCAGAUGCAUGUUGCAAACCUCGGGCUUUUCCCAGGAGCCUCUGGCUUUUCUCUAGGGUGAUUGAGCCCUGGAGCAAAAUGGCUUGUUCUGACAAAUGUCGCCUCCUGAAUUACCGCAGGGUAAGGGAAUGCCUUGAUAAUCCGGGGAUUACUUGGCACUGGCUCUGAGAUGUCAACACUUUUGGGGACUUUAAGACACUACCAUGGCCCAGCAGUCAAGUGGGGCUUAAGGAGGUCAGAUGAUAGGUCCCACGUGUGAAUUUCCAUGGGACAGUGUCUGUGGAUUCUCCGGGGGUUUAUGUCCCCCACUUCUUAAGUAUAGUUGAAAUAGUUUCGCUCAGCAACCGGCAGAGCACCCACGGAAGCCCCACAUUGGCUCUUCUGCGGUGGAGCCAAUGCCAUCUUGGUAGGAAGUGGAAAGAAAGGGAAAGUCUUGGAAUUUUCUCUCCCUAUGUCAAUAGUAAAUCAAAAGUAACAAACCCCACAUCCUAGGGGAGUUACAGAGAUUAGUGCCACUCUCAGCUACUGGAGAGAUUUCAGGGUGGUCGUUCCUAUUACGUCCCUGCUUCCCUGGCCUGCUUGACCUCUACUGAGGACAGGUCAUGAGGAAAGAGUGCAUCAGAAUGAAGGUGACCAGCUGGUGACUCCAAUUGCUGCCGUUCUGGAUGAAGCUUCCUUUUUUUUUCUGAGACAGAGUCGCCUGAGCUGGAGUGCAGUGGUGCGAUCUGGGCUCACUGCAACCUCUGCCUCCUGUUUCCAGCGAUUCUCCUCCCUCAGCCUCCCAAGUAGCUGGGAUUACAGGUGUGUGCUACCAUGCCCGGCUAAUUUUUAUAUUUUUAGUAGAGAUGGGGUUUCACCAUGUUGGCCAGGCUGGUCUCAAACUCCUGAUCUCAGGUGAUCCGCUUGCCUCCGCCUUCCAAAGCGCUGGGAUGGCAGGUAUGAGUCAUGGCGCCUGGCCUGAAGCUUCUUCAUUGGAGUCACAGUUGCAGCCUCACGGCACUGAGAGUUGGCUCUUUAUGUCAAUUUCUAAGGACACCAGAAACAAUCUGCUCUGUUUAGGGUGCCCACAGCACCCCUUCCCACUUUGCCUCAGGGUUAUGCCAGUUUUCCUGCUCUCUCUGCCAUGAUGGCAUCCGCAGAGAUGCCAUGGAAAACCAUAGCAGGCCACACCGUUAACACUAUGCUGACUGGUGCUGAUGGGCUGGGAGUGGCAGGUACAUCAGGAGCCUUUGUUUUUGGAUCUUUGGGGUGUUGAUUUUCUUCCCAGAAACCUCCCUGGCGUGUUUGUCCGAGUUCUUGUCCUGCAUCUGGGAAGAAUGAAGCACUCGGGAAGGGAAGGGUGACGAAGACAAAGAACUUUAGUGUUAGAACAGCUCAGGGAAGAUGAGAGUAGCUCCUCUCUGCAGCUGGCCAUCCCAUCUUCUCUCCACCCUCUCCCUGUCCUCUGGUUGACUGUCCUCUGCCCUGCUCUGGCUGAGCCCAGGGCUGUUAUGGACCUCAGAGGGAGGAAGUACAGGCUGACUGGUCCAUGGGUGGCUAUGGCAGGCCAGAGGAGGUGCCAAGAGGCCCCACCCUGGUCCACGGGAUUGGCAGCCCAUCUCCCAGCCUUCAGGCCCUCCCUGGCCUGAAGGUGGGGCCUCAUAGGGACCUCCCCUACUUCUGCCCAGGCCCUACGCUGCCAUUCAUGGCCCCAUGGCCUGGCCUCAACCCAGCUUCGAGAUUGGAGCAGGUGCUGGAGAAGGGAAGGGCCGGGCAGUGGAAGCAGACAUCAGGGGUGGGGGAUGGGGGCCGAGGGUCCAGGCUGCAGAGAUUCCCGGUCCUGCACCUGGGAAGGCCGUAGCUGCAGCCAGGGAGCUCCCACCCCACCUGCAUGUGAUUGCACAUGAAGCUGCAAUCUGUCUCAAAUUAAGAUGUGGUGUGAGGGGAUGUGCUGGAGAAAGUCCAGCAGGCACGGGUCAGUGUGUCAGCAGGGGGCUGAGACCCCUGUAAGAUGCACUCCCGAUUGCCUCCUCUCUCAGUCUAUGUCUGUGGCUCACACAAACUCCCAUGACCAGAUGGCUGAGACCUGCCUUCAGAUGGUUGUCUGGGAUAUGUGAGUACCGGCUGAGAGUGGGCCCUGGGAGCUCUGGAGUGUCCUUGGAAGAUGGCGGGGAAGGGAAAUUGUCCCAGAGGAUGGAGCAUCCCUUAAUCCAGCCAAGUCGACACAUACAACUAACCAUCACAGUCAGGGAUGCUGCUGAGCCUCUUAACCACGCACACAGGACUGGCCCAAGACAAAGAACGAUCUGGUCCCGAAUGUCAAUAAUGCCACUGUUGAGAAACCAUGCCUUACACUGAUUCAUGAGCAGGGGAAAAUAGUUUGACUAGAUGUUCGGGGUCUUGGAAAGAACAGGAUUCCAAAACUGGUGAAAAGGAAGCAUGGUCAGUGACAGAUGCACGUAUAGGAAGGUGGGGAGAGGUACGUGGAUGGAUCGCUCAGAAGGUGGUGUAAAGAGACUGAAGAUAUUUAUAUGUUCGCCAGGAGCUCCCUGUGCAGAGGGGUCUUUGAGAUUCGGGUGGACAAGAGAGCAUGCUCUGUGAUGCUAGCUGACCCUCCCACCGGCCAUCCUGAUGUUUAUUCAGUGUGCCCAGGGCCAUGAUUGCAGGGAUGGAGGCUGUGAAUGGGCACAAAUGACAUGAAUUUCGUCUUGCUAAGGCCAGCCUGGAGGCCACCACUGCUCUGCUGGAGUGACCUUCUGACAACCUCCCCUAUGGUGCAUUCCCAGGAGGGCCGGGCAGAUUCCUCUUGGCCAGCUGGACCCCUUCAUAAGGAAAAACAAUGUUCUCUCACUGGAAUAGGUGUGCCCUGAAUUCAGAUUUGCUUUCCCUGUCUGCAAUGCUGCUAUCAAAAGCCACUAUCAUGGACUUAAAGAAUGCCUUAUUCAUCGCUGUGGUAUUCUACACAGUGUUGCUUCUGAUGAAGAAUUUCAGUUGUACAGCAGUGAGAUCAUGCACAGUGACCUCACUUGCUCCACAUCCCACUGACCCAGAAGCAGCUGGCCUGAUAGAGCCGUGGUCCUGCCUACCGAAGAUGCCGUUAGAAUGCCAGCAGGGAGACAGCUCCCCGAAAGGUCGGAGUUCUACCUUACAGAUGGAGUUUGGGAUUUGAAUCAGCAACUGCCAUAUGGUCUGCCAUAUGGUGGUCCCAUGGCCGGAACACACGGUCUGGGAAUCAAGAGGUGGGCGUGUGAGUAGCUCUUGUCACUACGAAGCCUCGUAACCAAGAAUCGUACCUCCCCUGCCCCACACCUUAGCACGUCUCUGCUUUGUAGUUCCUGCUUCCCCAGGGAGGAGGGCUUCCCAGCAGGCAGCGCAGUGAUUUCGUUGAACCCAGAGCUGGGACCUGGCCAUUGUGGGCUUCUGAGCUACUGAAUCAAUGCAAAGAAGGUCGUUAUUCUACUGGCUGAGUGACUGAAAGUGUUAUCAAGGAAAAAUCGAGUUGUUCCUAUAUAAUGGGGGCCAAGAAAUGAUGUAUGAAAUGUAGGGAACUCUCCAGGGUGCCUUUAGUUAUCCAAAACUAAGUUAAUGGUAAAUGAUGGCAUCCAACGAAAGGACUUGUGAGGACUCAGAAUCUACAGGAAUGAGAGUUUGGAUCACCCAUCAGGUAAAGAAUCCCCAAAAGCUGAGAUCUGCCCAAGAGCAACGCCAACAUGAAGUGGUUAUGGAAGAAGGGAGUUUCGACUGUCAGUGGAGCUGGCCAGCUUCAGUCCCUGCAGCCAGGGCCUGCAGCAGGGAAGCAUAUUUGCCUGUCUUCCUUCUUGCUCGGUGUGCAUGUAUACACACAUAUGUGUACAUACAUACAUGCAUAUGUGCAUAUACAUGCAUGUGUGUAGGUGGGUCAGGACACACAGGGACUUGCUCUUUCCUUUUGCUUCUAGUUUCUCUGUGUUGUCUUGGCAACAGCUCUUCACUUGCUAGCUGCAGUUUGUUUCAAUUCUGUUUUCCCCCCCGACCUUGGAGAAGCGGCCAAAUCACAUCCCCUACUGAGACACCAGCAACCCUCCCUGGAGAUCUGAGCCUAGCGCCAUGAGCCUCCCACUCUGGCCUCCUGAGGCACAGGCACCAGCUGGGAAGAGCUCCCUUUUCAAAGGUCUGAGCUCAACGCUGCGGAGCCCCGCCUUCUCUGCCUGUGGAUUUUAACAACGCGCCCUUUGCUUUGCACCUGACCCUGUGAGGGAGCUGCUUCCUGUAGGUUCUCUCUCUGCGGACCUCUAUGUCUCCUUUUUGUGUUUUUUAGGCUUCCGAUGCCUGCUUGACUAGUUGCCCACGUUAAAUUCUCUGUUAAAAUAACUGGGGUGACUUCUGUUUUCCUAAAUAAUACUCAGAUUCCUUGAUUGGGUGGGGAAACCUCAAGAGCCUUUUCUCGAGUCCGUCGUUUUACAGAACACAAACCUGGGGCUGGUGGAGUGAUGCUUUUCUCAAGGUCAGUUUUGGGGCCAGACUCUGUCUCCCAAUCCAGGGCUCCAGCACCACCCUAUAGGGUCUUCCAGGCACUUUUUAAAGCUUCAAAUGCAGGAUUUUGCCUUUCAUAAGGGAUUCUCUGCCUGUCCUGCACAAACUUAGAACAGUUUCCUGUUUCCUUGUGUAGAAAAACAUUGGAUCCAGAAACGGAUGGUUCCAUUGGUCUUAACCAGGAUUCUUUGGGUAGGUAGUGGCCAUUGCUCCAGCCAGUCCCACAGCCCCACCAGGCAUCUUUCCUCUUCUCCCAUCUGUGCUAACUCACCCCCCACCUGGAGCCAGAUGGACUUGUAUGUCACCUUCCCCGACUGUGAGCUCCUCCUGGGCAGGGGCUUUGUCCAUUCCUUGGGAUGACCGUGUGUUCUGAUGCGGGGAGCACAGACUCAUGUCAGACACACCUGAGCUGGAAUCCUGGCUUUAUGAUUUACUUCGCCAAACCUUACUUUUCUUGUCUACCACCCAGAGAUUUUGCUAUCUCACAGGGUUGUUGCAUGGAGUGCAACAACCACUAUGCACAAAAUGUGCCACCCCCCGUGAUGCCCAUGCAGUGUGUGAGGCACUGUCAUCACCACCUCCAUCGCUGUCCCAGUGCAUGGCACACAAUGGGCUGGGACUGAGUCCUGGGCACACCACAUCUGCUGAAGCAGGCCUGCAGCCCUGGACCCCACUGACAGCCUCCUGAGGGGGCAUCUUUUUUUCUUUUACCGAGGCAGUGCCUCUCCUCCAUAAAAGAGCACUCAGAUAAAAAUUCACAGCAAAAUCCUCCUCCUCUAUGCUCCCAGCAGCCAUCCUCUUGCUUACGAUUGCAACCUCUGGUGAAAACAUGUUAAGGACAACCCUAUUCAGCUUUUGAUAGGGUUUGGCUGUUCCCCCACCCAAAUCUCAUCUUGAAUUGUAGCCCCCAUUAUACCUAUGUGUUGUGGGCGGGAACUGGUGGGAGAGAAUUGAAUCAUGGAGGCAGUUUCCCCAAACUGUUCUCUCGGUAAUAAAUCUCAUGAGAUCUGAGGGUUUUAUAACAGGUUUCCCCUUUUGCUUGGCUCUCAUUCUCUCGUCUGCCACCAUGUAAGACGUGCCUUUCAUCUUCCGCCAUGAUUGUGAGGCCUUCCCAGCCACGUGGAACCUAAUUAAACAAAUGGGAGAAAUAAAGCAACAUACGUCAUCGAAAGAUCAAAAAGACAAGAAUGGAACAUUCACUGAUUUCAUUAGGCCAAAUGCAUGUUUAAAGGAACAAAGCAGAUACGGGGGUGGGGAGGAUGGUCCUUGUUAUAAUUAACUUCAACAAUUCUUAGUUAAAACAGGGCGAAAUUCUCAAAGGUGAUGGCGAAUGGAGUAACAGAUCACUAAGGAGCUUGGUGUUUCUGUGGACCCAGGUAAGCCUGCUUCUCGUGCCUAACAGCACCUGUACUUGUAGGACUAAUAGCCCAGAGUUUCCCACCUGGGCGCCCAGGGAAGACAGGCUCCAGCUGAAUGGUGACUGGCUCUGUCAGAGGUGAGGCUGGCCUCUGUACUGGGGCUCGAGGCCACGGCUGAUCUCCAACACAUGUGCACGGUAAACUUCCUAGUUUUGGUCCUAAGUUACUGGAGACAAGCAGCCCCACUCCCUGCUGCCAAGUCAUCAUUCCGUAUCAGGUGUUUGGAUUUCAUUCCCACAAGCGGGAAGAAUGUGUGCAAAGAGCUGGACAGCUGAUAGGGCCUGGGAGAACUCCACGGACACCUGCCAUGGAGAAUAUUUGCAUGGACCUAGGGGGCAGGCCCUUGGGAAGCACACUCUCCCUCCCCUGGUGCUGGCAGAAGCAGGCCACCAGGCUGUUUGAGCAGCAAUGAAAGGGACACUUUGUUUGGCAAUUCAAGCACAGGAAUGCACAUGUGUGGGCCCAGUCACUGCCGGCUGGACAGCUGCAGAGAGGGCGUGAUGAUGGAGACCUGAUGCCCCCUCCUGCAAGGGACCUGAAAAUAUGGCGUCAAGAGAAAUGACAGCAAAACCACCAAAGAGGAUUAAAGAGAAGGACAAAGCCUUUAACCAGGCCACAGUAGGACAAAGGUCCCAUAAGAAACUUGUAACAGUAUUUUGCCAACAACUCUUAGAAGAAAACACAUUUGGCCAAAGGACCUAGAAGUAAACGCCAAGGUUAGGUAGUUGUGAAAAUCAUCUGGCAGGGGCCUAGGCCCAAAGAGGUGUGUGUUGUUUGGCUCUGUGGUGUCAAAGCUCUGACCUUUCAGUGCACCCCCACCAGUGGCCAAGGGGGAUACCCAGGGGCCUUGGCUCUCUUGCCCUGCUGCUUCCAGAUUUGUCAACAAAGUCAGCCCGCCCUGUGCUGGUUAGUGUUUGUGACAUGCUCCUCCUCCUCUGCAGCCUUGCUCUGCUGACUCUAGGAGAGUCCAAUGGUCAGGUGGACUUUCCCUGGGCUUGGCCAUCUGCUGCCACCCGUGCUGAACUGGGAAGGACUGGGAGACAGCUGAACACUGAUUACAAAGGAUUCUCUGGAAUGGUCCACGUCUACAGUGACCUCAUGGCGUGAGGACAGGAGCCUGCUGCUGUGCACCUGACUACAAGAGCUAUCCAUAGAAAACUCUUUUCAUCCGAGCUGGUUCCAAAAUGCUCCCCUGGGAACAGUGAGCCUCACAUCUGUGAGUAGGGGCUAGCAGCAGGGCAGGCAUUCACAGACAAAGAGGAGCUACCGCUGCUGCCUGGUAUGCUCAGUGCUAUAUCUAGCCAUCUUGUACCCGCAGGAGCCAGGUCACUGGGUCAGCUAAAAUUCUCCACAGUUAGGGACAGUAAUGGAAACUGGAUUUGAGGUGUGCUAUAGCUGGCCUAGAGUUAGAACCUAAGCAACGCCACUUUAUACAAGAUAAAGCUGUUUUUCCAAAAAUAAGUUGUAACCGCUGACCUUGGCUUCUGUAAAUAAAAACAGCUUGCUCUGAAAAAUGCCCACUGUGUAGAGCUGCCUGCCUCUGCUUAUCAGUAACUGCCAGGAUAAUCUUCUGUAAAGUUGCUUGCCCUGCAUCCCCUCACCCUCUUGGUCCUAAAACCAGGAUGUGGUUUUUCAGCUUAAAAACCCUGCUUUCCCUGAGCUCACAGCCAUGGGUCAGAGAGACAUGAGUCCUCUGUGGCUGCUGGCAAUAAAGACCCUGCCAUUUGGCAUACUUUUGUCUUGGUAUUAAUUUUUCAUACUCAAUCUGAUAUUACAUUUUGGAUGCCCCAGCGAGAUUUUAUUUACAUUCCUCCAUCACCUAGACAAAAGCCCUUGGAACUUCGCCCAGGAGGCCACUUCCACCUCGGGGAUUUCUAGGGGAGGCGCCCCCUAAUGAUGUUCCAGGGCCCCAGAGUUCAGCUCCAUGGUGGACAAGUGACUGCUCGGCCGACAUUCAACCCAAAUUCCUUCAGGGUCCUGGAAACCUCCGGAGGUAAGUCUGUUCUGGGUCUGAAAUUGGGACUGGUCCAUCUGUAUCCGUAGCCCAAGUCAGGGGACCGGAUGUGGUCACUGCAACUCUGACCAGGCAAGCCUCCCCGAGACGUCGCCCGAGGCUCCCGGUAUUUCUGUAACCUCUGAUUGUGCGGAGGCUCUGGUAUUAGUUUUUGGUGGUUUUCCGUAACCUCUGUGUGAGUGUGAGAAAGAGUGUGUAUAUGUGUAGUCCCACGGCCAGUAGGCUACGGGACUUGUGAGGGCCUUCACCCGCGGUUCCACGGGAGCGUCAUAAGGCAUAACGGUGAUUCAUCUCAGAACUAAAAAUUCUGAGGUGACCAGGCCCGGGGUUUAUACGGGUACACCUUAGCCAAGACGACCUAAAAUAUCCCUCCGGGGAUGUGGCCGGGCAGGCAUCAGACUGGUCUCCCAUCUGGGAGCACCCAUCAUUUGUCAAUCCUGUAUGUGGUUCUGUCCUUACUGUAAAUUUACCAGUUUUGUUAGACUCCUGUUGGCUGAUAUACAGUGCUUUAGACCUGUUUCCCUUGGAGUGGAAGAUAUUCUACAGUGGGUAACAUCACUGGCUGCAGGGGACCGUUGCUUAAUUAAUGUCCCUAGAAGUAACUCUGUUCUCCUUCCUUCUGUUCUUCUACUACUGAGGCCUCACUUCCUCUGAUUCUAGCCCUGUCUCUUUUUGCUCUAUUUAUUAUAAUCAUUGUGGCCUCUCAUUGUAGGUUCUCUCAGCCACCCCCUCCAGGAUAGGAGUAGUUCUGCCCGUGUUGGGUAUAAUUUCCUUUCCCCUCACCAGCCACCUACUACUCCUCCCCUCAACCUUUUCAGGACACUCCUUCCCUUUUUUAAUGUCCAAAAGAAAAUUCUGCCUGCUACGACUUGGGUGUAGUUUUUUCUCUGUCCUGGGAAAUCAACUCCUAGACAGAAAAGUGCCAACUCUUCUUAGCUGGUGGGGGUGGAAACAAAAGAACUGUCUGUUCUGUCAAAAGGACAUUAAGUGUUGUCAUGGCCAGUGCUCUGAAGCCCACCCCAUUCAGUUUUUCAGCACCAGCCUAACUGCCGGGAGGUGGGUGUCACGGCUUACUAAGAACAAACUGGCAAAUCUCUUGCCAUCUCUACGCUGAUGGAUAUAAAAUUCACACCCUGUGGACCUCCUAGUUCAUUUGUUUUGCCAUUUUCCAGCUUUCCCAAGGCCACUAGAUGCCAGGUGCCAUUUAAGAGAAGACCACGCCCGAGCGGCACUAACCCUAUACAAGGCCUGUUACCGGCCCCUCUGGGGCUUCUUAGGGGAAUCCUAUUUUCACUCUUGGCCCCUUCCACCUGUUCCCCUGGCUCGUACAAAAGACAGACAGAGAGAGAAAGUAGACAGAAGAGGGAAAGAAUUUAAUGUCUUUUAGGGUCCCUGUAUCAAGGCGAACAAAAGCCGCAGGGGCAAGAAACUCGCAGCUGGCCCAGCGGCUGUUAGUUUUAAACUGACAGGAAAAGCAUUUUUUUUCCCCUUCCUCUGCCAGCUGCCAGUCCUACCCGGCUUUCACGCAGGCCACACCACCUCACGUUGCAAGAUUUGCAUCCAAGAUACAACUUAAGAAAGCUUUCUGUUCGCCCUUACUGCGAGUGGCCUGUCGGCAUAGUAGAAAAGGGAUAAAGCCUGCAACUGCAAGGUUGCUGGUUCAAAUCCUCAGCGGCGCCAGUCUUAAAUAAACCUCUUGGAAAAAUUCAGAAGCUGAAAGCUAUAGGACUUUGUGUUUAGUAUAAUUUGUCUUGCUAAGAAUUGGCUCUCUCUACAGCAGAACUUUUCUAUCUAAAAAUCAUAGUUAAACCAUUUCCAGGCCCUCAAAAAAAAAAAAAAGCCAAAUGGGGUCGUCUAGCUCCCGGCCUUGCACCACCCUCCAAUGUAUGAUGGCCAACUUCAAGGUUGGGUUUUCAGGCCAAUAUGGGGUGAAAUGAACCCCUGAAAAACUCCGCUUUUUAUGUGAACUAGAAUGGCUGUCUUUUGGAGUUGGGUGGCCUGACACUGGGACCUACGACCCCAGAAUUACCCAGGUAGUAUGGAAAAUGGUCGCAGGAACGCCUGGACACCCUCAUCAGUUUCCAUGCAUUGACCAGUGGUUGGAUGUAGUCCAACGACCCCCUCCAUGGCUGAAAUGCUGCAUAAAACAGGCCGGACUUCAGGUUGUUAGCCGGCCCAAAAAAGGUCCCUCCAGCACCCGCCAUUCUCCCGCCUCAGCAGAGGAUCGAGUUACCUCCACCUUCCCUUACACCCUCUGGACAGGGGUCCCGGCACCCCGCUCCAGACAGUACUGGCAGCCAACCCUUACACCCUCUGGACAGGGGUCCCAGCUCCCCUCUCCAGACAACACCAGUAGCCAGCCCUUGUCCCCACUCCACACCAUAGCAGGGCUCCACACCCGCCCAGGGUAUUACCCCUUUGGGAGGCGUCCCCAGUGGAAAACAGUAGCUGGGGUGCCCCUUCUUUGUCCACAUCCCCUUCUUCUCUAGUGAUUUAUACAAUUAAAAGGCUCAACACCCUCCAUUUUCUGAAAGCCCCAGGCACUCACAGGGCUCCUGGAGUCUAUUUUACAAACUCACCGCCUACCUGGGAUAACUGUCAACAAUUGCUCCUAUACUGUUUACUACAGAAGAGAGGAGCAGCGUUAGACAGGAGGCCCAUAAGGCCAUCAUCGGAACAGGGGGAGGCUCGACGGAGGACCGCCAGGAACAAAUUAAUAAGAUUUUCCCUUCUAUUCCGACCCCAGUGGGAUCCAAACACCUUGGCGGGUCUACAGGCUUUAAACAAUUUUCACCGGUACCUACUAGAAGGGGUUAGGGGAGUGGCCCGCAAGCCCACUAACCUCUCCAAGGUGGGAACUGUAACUCGGUCCGCGAGAGUCGCCGGCUGCCUUCCUUGAGUGUCUAUGAGACAUUUAUCGCACCUACACUCCUAUUGACCCUGAGGCUCCAGAAAAUCAGCGGGACAUCAAUCUGGCUUUCGUUUCCCAGUCAGCCCUAGAUAUCAAAAAAAAGUUACAGAGGUUAGAGGGAUUCCAGGGAAUGAAUUUGAUCCAAUUGCUGGAAAUUGCCCGGAAGGUCUUUAACAAUAGAAACCCUUCGGCAGCUAUACACAGGAUAUAAGAGUUACUGAAGUGGUAACAGCAGCUCUUCGGGAAACCCGAGUUAUCCCACGGGGAGAGGGAACCUCGCAGGGGAGCCCCUGGGGUCCCCGGCCCAAGCUAGGACACAACCAGUGCACGUACUGCCGACAAGAAGGUCACUGGAGGAGGGAGUGCCCGGAGAGAAGGCAGCGAGAAACAGCACAAGGAAAGCCACCAAGGGCCAUUCUCAAUUUAGAAAGCCAGGAUCGAUGGGGCCAGGGCUCUUAUUAAGCCCCUAAGAGCCCAGGGUCACUUUAAAGAUUGGGAGCACACCUGUCAGCUUCUUAGUCUACACCAGGGCAGCCCACUCAGUCCUUAGCCUCUGGGACCACUAUCCAGUAGAAGAACAAUUAUUCAGGGGGCCACAGGAAAAACUACGACAAGUCCUUGGACCACCAACCGAUUCAUUGAUCUGGGGAACGGUACUGUCACCCACUCCUUUUUAGUUAUUCCAGAGUGUCCAUACCCACACCUAGGAUGAGAUUUACUUCACAAACUUCAAGCAAACAUUUCUUUCGGUGAGGGUGAGGCUUGCCUCUCAAUUCCUCCUCCCUUGGCAUCAGGGCCACCUCAGAAAAUCCUCAUCACCUGUGCUCUGUCAGACGAGUAUCUCUUGCAGGAAGCAAGAGAUCUGCCUCAAAGGCAGAUCAACCACCAUCAAACCUCCUCUGCAAGUUCCAAGAAAAUGUACCCAGAGUGUGGGCUGAGACAAAUUCCCCAGGCUUGGCAAGUCGCCGUUCCCCAGUCGUGGUCCAGCUAUUGGCAACGGCAACUCCAGUCCAGGUUACGACAAUAUCCCAUGAGCCAGGAAGCCAGACGGGGAACUGCUCCACAUAUAACCAGACUCCUAAAAGGAGGGCUCCUUACUACCUGUUAAGUACCCCGGGAAUACCCCCUUACGCCCUGCCUUAAAACCAGGCACAAAGGACUAUUGGCCUGUACAGGACUUAAGGGAGGUAAACGAGUGGAAACUGUCCGCCCUACGGUUCCAAAUCCGUACACCCUCCUAGGUCUCGGGCCCAGACCACCACCAUUACACUGUCCUGGAUCUCAAGAAUGCAUUCUUUUGCAUCCCACUAGCUCCUGUUAGCCAGCCCAUAUUUGCUUUUGAAUGGACUGACCCCAAUACUGGGGUCUUGGGGCAACUCACUUGGACAAGACUGCCUCAGGAGUUCAAAACCCCCCCGACUCUGUUUAAUAAGGCACUUAGCUAAGACCUUGCCACCUUCCGAGCUGAGUUCCCGGAGUGUACCCUACUCCAACAUGUGGAUGACUUACUCUUGGCUACAAAAACCCAGGAGGCCUGUAAAGAGACCACCCAGUCAUUAAUAAAAACCCUACAGACUUUGGGGUACUGGGUCUCAGCUAAAAAGGCCCAACUCUGCCAACCUAAACUUACUUACCUAUGCUAUAUUGUAAAAAAGGGUAACCGGGCACUGGCACCUAACCGAGUCCAAGCAGUGCUGCAAAUACCCACCGCCACCUCGAAACGCCAAGUUCGAGUAUUCCUUGGGGUGGUAGGGUACUGGAGGCUAUGGAUUUUAGAAUCUGCUGAGAUAGCCAAGCCCCGUACGCCCGCACUGGAAGAAAUCAGCCUUUAACUUGGGCAGAAAUAAAGCAAAAGGCUUUUGACAAACUCAGAACUGCCCUAACUACAGCCCCAGCCUUGGCCUUGCCAGACAUCUCUAAACCCUUCCGGUUAUUUGUGCAUAAAAAACAGAGAGUCGCUAACGGGGUACUCACCCAAACAUUAGAACCACAGUCCUGGCCAGUCGCCUACCUUUCAAAAAGACUUAAUCCCGUAGCCUCUGGGUGGCCAGCUUGUCUGAGGUCAGUGGCAGCUACAGCCCUGUUAGUCAAGAAGGCAAACAAACUAACUUUGGGGCAGGAGUUAAACUUAGUGGCACUUCACGCGGUGAGGUCACUUCUCCGUGGAGCUCCGGUAAAAUCGGUGUCUAAUGCCCGCAUAGUUCAGUAUCAGGCCUUACUUUUAGACCAGCCCCGCAUAAGGCUUUUAAAAGCUGGUUUUAAACCCCGCCACGCUGCUACCAGACAGCGAGCCGGAGAAGCCCAUACAUGAUUGCCAACAGACAAUGAAUGUCCUCCAGGCUGCUCAGCCGGACCUCACCGACAUCCCCCUGCAGAACCCUGAGGAGGUACUGUAUACGGACGGCAGCAGUUUCAGGUCAACGGAGUAAGGUGUGCCGGAGCAGCCGUGGUCACCCGAGAGCGGGUUGUCUGGGCCCAGGCUCUUCCACAUGGAACCUCAGCCCAAAAGGCAAAACUCAUAGCUCUGACAAAGGCCUUGGACUGGGUGGAGGGAAAAACUUAACAUCUACACGGAUAGCCGGUAUGCCUCUGCUACGGCUCAUGUACAUGGAGCCAUUUAUAAAGAAAGAGGACUACUUACCUCAGAGGGAAAAACCAUCAAAAAUAAAGAAGAAAUCCCAGCCCUACUAGAGGUUAUGUGGAAGCCCAACGCAGUGGCAUUAAUACCCUGCAAAGGACACCAGAAAGGAAACUCACCAGAGGCGAGGGGAAAUAGGGCGGCCGGCCUACAAGCCAGACAGGCAGCCUUGGGGCCAGUACAACCUCUGACUCUUCUUGUAACUCUGCCGGCCCCAACCCUGCCCCCUACCCCUACAUACUCACCUGAUGAAGAAAACUUUGCUAAAGAACAGGGGGGUGGCCGGGCGCGGUGGCUCAAGCCUGUAAUCCCAGCACUUUGGGAGGCUGAGGCGGGUGGAUCACGAGGUCGAGAGAUCGAGACCAACCUGGUCAACAUGGUGAAACCCCGUCUCUACUAAAAAUACAAAAAAUUAGCUGGACAUGGUGGCGCGUGCCUGUAAUCCCAGCUCCUUGGGAGGCUGAGGCAGGAGAAUUGCCUGAACCCAGGAGGCGGAGGUUGCGGUGAGCCGAGAUCGCUCCAUUGCAUUCCAACCUGGGUAACGAGCGAAACUCCGUCUCAAAAAAAAAAAAAAGAAAAAAGAAAAAGAAAAAGAACGGGGGCACGCAAAAUUCCACAGGAUGGUGGACUCUACCAGACACAAGGAUUGUGCUCCCCGAGGCUCUAGGACGGGCUCUAGUUAAGACCACACACCAGGCCACUCACUUAGGACAGACAAAACUGACUGAGCUGGUGGGGGCCAAAUACCACAUUCCCAUCUCCAGAAUUUGUCAGGGAAACUACAACUCAGUGUCACACAUGUGCCAGGGUAAAUCCAGGAGGCAGUAGGUCUAGUCAGGCAGGGAUAAGACUUAGGGGUACUAGCCCAGGGGAACACUGGGAAGUAAACUUACUGAAAGAAAGCCCCCAGCGUGCGGCUAUCCAUGCCUCCUUGUGUCCACAGACACCUCUGGAUGGGUCGAGGCUUUCCCUACUAGGUCUGAAACCGCACUGGUAGUAGCAAAACAGCUGUUACAGGACCUGGUUCCUCGGCUCAGCUUGCCCGACUCUGGAAUCGGAUAAUGGCCCUGCGUUUACAGCACAAGUUUCUCAGGUCCUGGCUAAGGCCCUGGGCAUAUCUUGAAAACUACUCUGUGCCUGUCACCCCCAGAGUUUAGGGCAGGUUAAGAGAAUGAAGCAGACCAUAAAGGAGACUCUGACAAAGUUCAUGCUAGACAGUGGUAACAACGGGGUCAGCCUGCUUCCUUUUCUCCUCCUCCGUGUCUGAUGCACCCCCUACCAAAAAGGCUUCUCCCUCUUUAAAAUUAAGUUUGGAAGACCCCCUCCCUCACUCCCCAGACCUGCAGAUACCAUACAUGCUGAGGUCCAUAACCAUACACUCCUUAAGUCCUUACAGGCAUUCCAGUCUGUUCAAUCCCAGGUGCACCGGCUCAUCAGAAACACUCAUCCCACUCCCGUGAACCUCAAUGCCCAGCCGGCGCACCCCUUCCAGCCAGGAGACUCAGUCUUUGUUAAAAAAUUCACCACCUCCAGCCUCACCCCUCAUUGGAAAGAACCCUACACAGUCAUUCUAACCACCCCCACCGCACUCAAAGUGAACGGACUAACAGCCUGAAUUCACCACACCCACGUCAAGACCGCGCCGCCGGAAGGACAAUAAAGCGUAAACCCCUCUUCCCCCAAUUCACUAAAAAUAAGACGUGUGCUCUUCGGGGUCACCACCCUCACCUUCCUAAUCUGUUCUGUCAAUUCAGAUAAAUGACCCCCCUUAGACCCCACGUACUAUCACUGGACCCUCACUGUGGGCUCCACUGGACAAUAUGUUAGUCCCUUAACAGCACGAAAAAACACCACUGUCAACCCAACCUUUAUGUACUAUCUGAGCCAACCUACAACUUUCUCCGUGGACCUUUGCGUCCUCCUAGGAAAAAACCUGGAUGUCGGAUCAGUUGGGGGACAGAUUAUCAGGACGGGGGGUUUGCCUCAGGGUGCAGUAGCCAAAAGGCAGAACAACAGCUCCAAAACAAAGGGCUAUACUCAUGCCCUGGGUCAACACCACAAAGUGAAAUUGUGAAAACUUAAAUAAAUUGCUUUGCCCGCACUGGGGUUGCGUAACAAUCUCAA